GUUUCCACUCACUUAAGCCGGAGAUCAUUCUUCAGACCAGGUGCUUUCACAGUGCUAUUCAGUCAGAAGGCAUUUUUUUCCCCAAUAGAGUACCUUUACCUAAUCUUGACAAAGCAGAAAUCAACUGCAGCUCCUAUGAAGGCCAUGAACUUAUCAAUCACCCAUCUUGAGGAGACUGAGGUCCCUUAACAUCUGCCGGAUGAUGCUGAGGAUGUUCUACGAGGCAGUGGUGGCCAGUGCUAUCAUUUUUGCUGUUGUGUGCUGGGGCAGCAGGCUGAGGGUAGCGGACACCAACAGAAUCAACAAACUCAUUCGUAAGGCCAGUGAUGUUGUGGGGGUGGAACUGGACUCUCUGACAGUGGUGUCUGAAAAGACGAUGCGUCCAAGUUGCAUGCCAUCUUGGGCAAUGACUCCCAUCCGCUCCAUAAUGUACUGGUUAGGCACAGGAGUACAUUCAGCCAGAGACUCAUUCCACUGAGAUGUAACACUGAGCGUCAUAGGAAGUCAUUCCUGCCUGUGGCCAUCAAACUUUACAACUCCUCCCUCAGAGUGUCAGAUACCCUGAGCCAAUAGGCCUGGACUUAUUUCCACUUGGCAUGAUUAACUUCUUCUUCUUCUUCUUCUUCUUCUUCUUCUUAUUAUUAUUAUUAUUAUUAUUAUUAUUAUUACUAAUAAUAAUAAUAAUAAUAAUAAUAAUAAUGGUUUUAUGUUGCUAUAUUUCUUCACUAUUCUUGGUUAGUGCAGCUGUAACGAAACCCAAUUUCCCUUGGGAUCAAUAAAGUAUGACUGUCUGUCUGUCUGUCUAUGAACAAUUUCUGGAGGUCCAAGAUCCAUAUGCACCACGACCACUGGACUAAGUGUGUAAAUGUAGGAGGAACUAUGUUGAAAAAUAAAUGUGGCAGGUUUUCUAAAAUUGACUCCUUCUACCUUAGUCCACAAACUUAUUAAUCACCCCUUGUAAUUAGAUAUUGCAACAAAUACUAACACAAUAUUGUUUAUAUAUGGCAGUGACUUAACAUAAGUAGAUCUCAAAACUAAGUACAGUAUUGAUUGUACCCAGACUGGUUAUACUGAAGUGUAUCUACAAGAAUAUUUGUCAGGUACAAUGCAUUUUGAUCCUUGGAAGACCCACCUCUGCCCUGCAUGUACUGUACAUUUGGCUUGAGAUUAAAUAGUUUCAUUCAAUCCAAGAGGCUCUUCCAUCACAAUACCACUUCCUUUCACUAUUUUUCAGAAUCAAAAUCAGGUUUAAUAUCACCAUAUGUUGUGAAAUUUGUUACAUUUGCAGCAACAGUGCAAUGCAAUGUAUAAUAAUUGAGAGAGAAAAAAUGGAUUACAGUAAGUAUGUAUACAAUAUACAUGUAUUAAAUAGUCAAAUUAAAUAAGUAGCGUAACAAAAAAAAAAUAGAAAGUAGUGAGGUAGUGUUCAUGGGUUCAAAGUGCAUUCAGAAAUCAGAUGUCAGAGGGGAAGGAGCUGUCCUGAAUCAUUGAGUGGGUGCCUUUGGGCUCCUGUACCUCUUUCCUGAUGGUGACAAUGAGAAAAAUGUAUGUCCUGGGUGAUGGGGUCCUCAGUGAUGGACACUGACUUUUUGAGGCAUUGCUCCUUGAAGAUGUCCUGGAUACCAGGAAGGCUACUGCUCAUGCUGGAGCUGACUAAUUCUGCAGCUCUCUGCAAUUUACUGCAAUCCUGGGCAGUGCCUUCUCACACCCUCCUCGGACAAUCAUACAGCCAGUUACAAUGCUCUCCAUGUAGAAGUUCACAAGUGUCUUCAUUCUAAUUUGUAUUCCUUUCAAUCACCUAUACUGAAUUUUUAGCACUAAUUCUAUAUUAUUGCAGUCCUUAAGAUUUAUGUUAAGUAAAUUUAAAUAUUUUGUUAUCAUGAAGUAAAAAUACCAAAUCAGUACAUUAUGAUAGUGCAAUAUUCUUUCACGCCUGACAACUGUUGAUGGCUUAAAAUGAUUAAUGUUCUGUACCAUGCACGGUAACGUGGUUUGUAAUAUCAUUAUUACUGUGCCAAAGAACAUGUUACAAUGAACUUUUGACCUGAAAGUUUAAUUCAGUUUCCCUUUUCACAGCAGCUGCCUGACCUGCUGACUGUUUCCAAAGUUUUCUGUUAGUCCGAAAUUUUCAGUUUCUAAUGUUUCUCGAUUUUCAUUAUCUUUUCUGUCUUGAGGUAUAUCUGGAAGUUUGGGAAACCUUAUGGAUGAUAAGGGACUGAUUUCUGUGCCAGACUGAUAUUGUCGAGCUGUCUCUUAUUCUGCAUGAUAUCUGGUCGAAGAACAGAAGCCAGAGUAAAUGCAGAGGUGGAACAAUGAUGUCAGAACAAAGAAGAUGAAGAUAAAGAGGCCGUUGUAGUAAAUGAAGCAAAAGGCUUUAAAUAUAAUAUAAUUUCUUCAUAUUUUGUAUAGCCAAUCAGUCACUAUUCUAAGUUAUAGACUGUCAAAUUUAGCAUUCUUUUCACUUUUCACAUUGAAAGAAUUCUGAAUGACAGCAUAUGUAUUCAGGAGGCAUGUUCUUCAGGAGAUAUUCUGUGCUGCUUGUGUGGAGUUUGCUUGUUGUCCCUGUGACUGAAUGAGUUUCUCCCUAGUGCCAUGGUUUCAUUCACAUCCCAAAAACAUGGCACUUGGUUGGUAAGUUGGCCUCUGUAGUUUAGAAAAUGUGAGUGGUAAGAAAAUCAUAGGAUGUGGGGAAUAAUGUGCAUAAGAGAGAGAAAGAGAGAGAGAAGAGAUUAUAAGGAAGUAAAUAAGAGAUUACUUUAAGACAUCCUUAAGAGUGCCAUUGUUAAUGCAAAUUACACAGUUCACUGUGUGUUUCAGUGUACAUGUGAUAAAUAAAUCAGAAUCUGAGAUGGAACAAAUGAAUUCCGUCCAUCUAUUUUGUAUGCAGUAUGAGAAACGCUCUGCUUGGUUGGAGGACAUUUUCUGAAUCUAAACUUUAGAUCAAUCAUUAUGAAGUAAAUUUUGUAAAAGACUAUGAAUACAAGUUGAGCACUUCACAUCCGAAAUGCUUGGUGCCAGAAGCGUUUCAGAAUUCAGAUUUGGAAUAUCUGGAUCUAUAUAAUGAGAUAGCUUGUGGAUGGCCCCCAAGUCUAAAUACGAAAUCCAUUUUCAUUACAGGUACAACUUAUGUACAACUGUCCUGAUGCUCACAGAGUGAACAGUCUUUAGUAGCAGCACAGUCUGGCACCCUCCACUGACUGUCCAAGUUGAAUGACCACCCCAUUCUCGACUUUACUGAGUUUCAGCACUGCGAUUCGCUUCAUAUCCACCAUCAUUUUCAACAGCUGCUCAUUUCAUAGCAACUACAGUGAGAGGGGGUUAGUUUUAUACAGUAUUUUUAAUUAUUUUAUGCAUGAAACAAUGUGUACUCUGAACCAUCAGAAAGAUAAGGAAACAAUACUUCAAUUGUCCAGGUGGAAGUCAGUGGCUGUUUGGAAUCACCAUCGUUCCUGACACUUGUUCAUUGCACUUAUGCACUGAAUCAAUCGUUCAGUGUGUUAGAUUUCCAUCAGCGACUGUCUUGGCAAACUCAUCAAUGAAUUUCCCUGCUGCUUCGUGAUCAGCAGACACUUUAUCACCGCAAAUCUUCAAAAAUCUAAUGCUGUGCCUUUUCUUAAAUUUCUGCAACCAGCCUUCUGGAUAUUCACAAUUACCUUCAAUUUUCAGUUUGUUGUGAUAGAUCUUUACUAGAUCAGCAUACCGUUAAAUGGCACAUGUUCACUUCAACACUCACGAAUCCACUCUUCCAAUAUACAAUAUGAUCAAGAUCUUCAAUUUUCACUUCAUGCAGAGGCUUUUUAUUUUUCAUUAACUUGUUCAUUACAUAUGAGAGGUCACUUCCCAAACCAGAGACCUGCACACCAUUGGGGAAUCUUCCCAGAGUCCUGUGGAAUUUUCCAUUUGUGACAUAAUGUCAGUGCUCAAAUCAAAUUUGAAUUUCAGAGGCUUCCAGAUUUUGGAAUUUUGGGUACGGCGUGCUCAAUCUGUACUUCAAUUUAAAAUUGAAUGCUGACACGACAGUCUUCGAAUUGAGGAAAGCUUAAAGUGUGUUAAAGUAGUUUAAAGUAGUUCAUGCAAACUAAAAACAUAUAUUUUAAAGGAAAUCAUUGAAAAUAUAUUUUGCUUGGUUGAAGGUUCUCAGCAUUGUUUGUUAAUGAAAACUGUACUGUACUGAAUUGUUAGUUUCUAAAAAAAAUGUUGCCUAAAGUUACAAUAUGUGCUAAUUAACAUCAAAUGCAAUGUAGUGGGAAUUGUUUUAUAAUUUGUAAAUACGAUUAAUCUAAAAAUAAAAUUCAUCACUUUUA